AGAAAAAAAAAAAAAAAAAACCAGUGUAUGAAGCAUCCAUGUCACAGACCCAUCCAGACUGUGUUCUGAGGCACAAAAGUUAGGACACGUGACCACGUUUUUACAAAGACUCAAAAGUCAGAGAGAGAGAGAAAUGGGAGUGGUAGGGAUGGGGAGAUGAAGGAGGAAAAAUGAAUUCAUGGAAACAGAAUUGUGUCAGGGGAUUAUAUGCAUUUACGAGGCAUUUAUUCCGUAUUGCCAAAUCUCCCUCAAGACAGGUAUUAUUUUCUUUACAAUUUUUUCUAACUGUUAAAAUAUUUAUUACAAUGUAAUGGGAAUUGUUUAUAUAGAGAGUCUGAAACUUCUCUUUGCCCCGUUUCUGUGUUUCAGACAGCAAAGGCAUAUAAAGCCAUGAAAAACUGCUAUAUACAUGGUCUCUUAUUUUAUUUUUAUAGAUAUCUAUUGAAAUCGAGACUCCUACCCAGAUAUCUUUAGUGGAUGAAGCAUCAGGAGAGAGUCAAAGACAUCCAAAGUGUAUAUUUAGAUACUAUGUUGUGUGAUCCAAGAUUUUACCAAAUUCCAAGUCGGGUAAGUCUGCCUGGAGGAACAGGGUUAUCAUCUGGGUGUGCCUGUGGUUUUAGUAGGAAGUUUGUAGGGUGACAGGUCAUAUCCUAACUGUCCCUGUAGGUGUGAGUACCUGGGACUGUUGGGAAGCAAAAGGCUAUGUGCGGCUCUCCACCUGUUAAAUGUCUCUUUAAAAUCCUGUCUAGGAGGAGUGUUUAAGUGGAGUCUUAGAGCUGGUUCAAAGCUGGAUCACUCGGAGCCUGUACC
rnacentral:lncRNA from 1 species